CUUUGCUGGAGUUUUGCCCAUG
rnacentral:siRNA from 1 species